ACCCUCAGCUGCAGGUCUGUUGGAGUUUGCUGGAGGUUCACUCCAGACCCUGUUUGCCUGGGUAUCAGCAGCGGAGGCUGCAGAACAGUGGACCUUAUCUGUAACUGAAAUUAUUUCUUUUAAAAAACAGAGAUCUGAAGCAGAUAUGACAACAUAUUAAUUUCUGUUUAAUUUCAGUUGUAGAAAAACAAAUGUUUAUUAUAUUUUGAAAAUGUCUCUGUUUUUUGUGUUUUGUAACAUAAAACAGGAAGAAACUGGCCCAUCCUCAAAGAGAGGGGAAGGUCAGUCCAAUGAGUUUGGUUUGCUGAGCCCCACUCAGGAAUUCAUGGAGAAAUCAAGUUCCAUGUGGCUUCCAUUGCACCUUCCAGAAAAGAGUCAGAAAAUACACCCAGGAGACCAUGCCAGAGAGGAAGGUGUAAGAUUCUGGAAACUGCAGCCUCCUACAUUUGGUACCUGCCACUUUCACUUCAGUUUCUGACAGCAAUCAGCAGGUUCUCAGAACCAAAAGGGCCUGCAGGAUUGUCCUCAGAAGCAUCAGGGAUGUGAGGGCUGGGAAGGCUGAGUUUCACUCUGCAGCCAGGUUUGAAGAGAUAGAGCCUGAGCAAAAAAAUGGGGAUGGUUUCAGUUAAUGCAGUGAGAGGAAACAGUAUAGCCCUGGUGUGGAGAAGAAGGAGAAUAAGUGAACUUAAUGAGAUCCUCAUUCUACACAGAUUCCUGAAAUGCCCUAACAUACAAUCACAUUGCCAUAAGCACUUAGAGUCUUCUUCUGCAUACUGCUCCAUGGGAAUAUUUCAGAAUUCUUGGAGAGCUGAUCCAACACAAUAGAUCCUAAGUUCCUUGACCUUUCUUAAUCCCACUGAACAUUGUUUCCACUCCUAUAUGGCUGUGUCUUACCUAUAUAUCAUCAUUUGGCUCUUCCUU
rnacentral:lncRNA from 1 species